UUUUUAGUAUAAGUGUGUCCCAAAUAUUCCAAGGGAUAUACUUAUACUACAA
rnacentral:miRNA from 1 species